CAGGAGAACCAGGUGCAUCAGCGCAUUGCGGAGCUGAGGAAAGCAGGUCUGUGGUCCCAGAGGCGUCUGCUGAAGCUGCAGGAGGCCCCACGGCCCAAGUCCCACUGGGACUGUCUGCUGGAGGAGAUGCAGUGGAUGGCCACAGACUUUGCCCAGGAGAGGUGGAAGGUGGCCUCUGUGAAGAAGAUGGUCAGAGCUGUGGCCCGGCAGCUGCAGGACAGGACGCGCAGGGAGGCCGGGGCCAGGAGGGAGGAGCCGAGCAGGCUGAAGCAGACGUCACCUGUACUACCAGAGAAAUCGAGCGUCCCUGGUCUAGUACUGCGCAGGUAAAGAUUCCAGCAUCUUUGAAGCAAGUGCUCCACUGGAAAAUAAAAGCGACGUGAGUCUUGUUCUGUCACCCAGGCUUUGGAGUACCAC
rnacentral:lncRNA from 1 species